ensembl:lncRNA
GGGGAGGGGGAGGUGGCCUCUGAGAACUGCUUGCUCGGUGGUUUCUGGUUGCCAUACACAGAGGCAAACAAAGCCGAGGCCGUGUGGGGUGGCCCCGCCCAGCGCCAGCCCCGGCUCAGGUUUCCCACACCUGGCCGGGUGGAUCCAGGUCACCCGGGGCUGUUUUUCUCUGCAGAAUACUGAUGUGAUGACUGGAGCGGAGCAGCCAGCUAAAACCGUGAAGCAUACUGGGAAUGAUUCGUGCAGAGCAUGAAUAUCUUGCAGAGCAGAAAGAUAGGAGUCUGGGUCCCUGAGGCCUGUCAGGAGCUCUGAUACAGACCCACAGCAUCCGUCUGGGAUUACUGCACUGGUCCCAUGGAACUUUGGCAGCAAGAGGACCCAGUGCAAACAAGAACCCCAUGCAGCCCACUCUGCUGUGAGAAAUAAAACUCCC